rnacentral:rRNA from 1 species
ACUAAUCCUAGCCCUAGCCCUACACAAAUAUAAUUAUACUAUUAUAUAAAUCAAAACAUUUAUCCUACUAAAAGUAUUGGAGAAAGAAAUUCGUACAUCUAGGAGCUAUAGAACUAGUACCGCAAGGGAAAGAUGAAAGACUAAUUAAAAGUAAGAACAAGCAAAGAUUAAACCUUGUACCUUUUGCAUAAUGAACUAACUAGAAAACUUCUAACUAAAAGAAUUACAGCUAGAAACCCCGAAACCAAACGAGCUACCUAAAAACAAUUUUAUGAAUCAACUCGUCUAUGUGGCAAAAUAGUGAGAAGAUUUUUAGGUAGAGGUGAAAAGCCUAACGAGCUUGGUGAUAGCUGGUUACCCAAAAAAUGAAUUUAAGUUCAAUUUUAAACUUGCUAAAAAAACAACAAAAUCAAAAAGUAAGUUUAGAUUAUAGCCAAAAGAGGGACAGCUCUUCUGGAACGGAAAAAACCUUUAAUAGUGAAUAAUUAACAAAACAGCUUUUAACCAUUGUAGGCCUAAAAGCAGCCACCAAUAAAGAAAGCGUUCAAGCUCAACAUAAAAUUUCAAUUAAUUCCAUAAUUUACACCAACUUCCUAAACUUAAAAUUGGGUUAAUCUAUAACUUUAUAGAUGCAACACUGUUAGUAUGAGUAACAAGAAUUCCAAUUCUCCAGGCAUACGCGUAUAACAACUCGGAUAACCAUUGUUAGUUAAUCAGACUAUAGGCAAUAAUCACACUAUAAAUAAUCCACCUAUAACUUCUCUGUUAACCCAACACCGGAAUGCCUAAAGGAAAGAUCCAAAAAGAUAAAAGGAACUCGGCAAACAAGAACCCCGCCUGUUUACCAAAAACAUCACCUCUAGCAUUACAAGUAUUAGAGGCACUGCCUGCCCAGUGACUAAAGUUUAACGGCCGCGGUAUCCUGACCGUGCAAAGGUAGCAUAAUCACUUGUUCCUUAAUUAGGGACUAGCAUGAACGGCUAAACGAGGGUCCAACUGUCUCUUAUCUUUAAUCAGUGAAAUUGACCUUUCAGUGAAGAGGCUGAAAUAUAAUAAUAAGACGAGAAGACCCUAUGGAGCUUAAAUUAUAUAACUUAUCUAUUUAAUUUAUUAAACCUAAUGGCCCAAAAACUAUAGUAUAAGUUUGAAAUUUCGGUUGGGGUGACCUCGGAGAAUAAAAAAUCCUCCGAAUGAUUAUAACCUAGACUUACAAGUCAAAGUAAAAUCAACAUAUCUUAUUGACCCAAAUAUAUUUUGAUCAACGGACCAAGUUACCCUAGGGAUAACAGCGCAAUCCUAUUUAAGAGUUCAUAUCGACAAUUAGGGUUUACGACCUCGAUGUUGGAUCAGGACAUCCCAAUGGUGUAGAAGCUAUUAAUGGUUCGUUUGUUCAACGAUUAAAGUCCUACGUGAUCUGAGUUCAGACCGGAGCAAUCCAGGUCGGUUUCUAUCUAUUUACGAUUUCUCCCAGUACGAAAGGACAAGAGAAAUAGAGCCACCUUACAAAUAAGCGCUCUCAACUUAAUUUAUGAAUAAAAUCUAAAUAAAAUAUAUACGUACACCCUCUAACCUAGAGAAGGUU